GACGAACGCUGGCGGCGUGCUUAACACAUGCAAGUCGAACGGAAAGGCCCUGCUUUUGUGGGGUGCUCGAGUGGCGAACGGGUGAGUAACACGUGAGUAACCUGCCCUUGACUUUGGGAUAACUUCAGGAAACUGGGGCUAAUACCGGAUAGGAGCUCCUGCUGCAUGGUGGGGGUUGGAAAGUUUCGGCGGUUGGGGAUGGACUCGCGGCUUAUCCGCUUGUUGGUGGGGUAUUGGCUUACCAAGGCUUUGACGGGUAGCCGGCCUGAGAGGGUGACCGGCAACAUUGGGACUGAGAUACGGCCCAGACUCCUACGGGAGGCAGCAGUGGGGAAUAUUGCACAAUGGGCGGAAGCCUGAUGCAGCAACGCCGCGUGCGGGAUGACGGCCUUCGGGUUGUAAACCGCUUUCGCCUGUGACGAAGCGUGAGUGACGGUAAUGGGUAAAGAAGCACCGGCUAACUACGUG
rnacentral:rRNA from 1 species